rnacentral:lncRNA from 1 species
CUUUUCUUAAAAAUAAUACACUGUGCAGUAGUAAGGAUAUGCAAAAAAAAAACAAACAUAAAGAAGGUAAUGAUCCCAAGUCGUCCUCAUUUAACUUAAGAAAACAAAGACUGCCAAUACAAUGAAAGUGUCCCCCCUACAACCUCUUCCUUGUCACCGCUACUCAACAAUUACAAGAGAAGCAAGAACUACUUGUCAUUCCAUGACCAACAUAGUAACUGAUGUAGGAGCUGGCCUAAGUUUUGCAGAUGGGAAUUCCAGAAAAUGCUUCUCAGGAAGCAGAGAGAAGAGAUUUGAGCAAAGCCCUGGGCUGAUUUGUUAUCGUUUUGUGUUAUCUGUAUAAUGCUCUCUUCCUUUGGCAAGAAGAUAUUAGUUGGGAGGAUGUCUGAAUCAAAGUCAGCAACAAGCUCUGUGGGCAGCAGCCCCCGCACCAUGACUGGCCCUGCUCCCUGGGAACAUGUUUUCCAUGAUCACUGUGUCCGCCGUGCCCAUGGUAAUGAGGAGUUGGCUGUCAUCCACUCAUUUUGCGUGUACGUCACGGCAGGCCACCUAAUCAACAUUCCACCGGAAGGCGGCUCUGUGACCCUGCAGUUGAAUGACACUGUUGCUUUCCAAAAACAGUAAAUCAAAGGAAAUAGAGAUUGCUGGUGAAUGAAACCUUUUAUGUUCUUUUUUAUUAGCACUUGAAGUUGGGUUUUCUCCAGUAUCUUUUUAUGGUCUGCAAACUCAAGUGUGAUGGAUAUGUCUUUGGAAAUUUGUGACGUAAUUAAAGACUCUGUCCCCUCUGGAUCACCUGCUGGUGGUUACAGGUGUUUUUCAUCUUCUUUUUCUUUCAGUGGAGUUGAUGAAGCCCAAGCUGAUUUUACGUAAAGGAUGCUCGCAAAGAAUGGAUGACGACCGUGCCCUCACUUCCGCCCCUCACUGUGGUAGGACACACACCGUACCUACAGCGCAUGCCCCGCCAGCGCUCCCAGACACGGCUUGGGCGCCACGCACGUGCCCACGUGCCCACGUCUGCCCGCUCGUCAUCCACGUCACCACGCUCUCUAUCGCCUUGGCAGUCACUGCUGCCUGCUCACGCUUUCCUGAUCUUGAUCUUGAAAUCACCUCCUUGUCUUCCGAGCUUGAAGGCGACUACCCUUCCCUCCCCUUCGCUUUACUUGGUCCCCAUCUCUACUGCAAGCACUCUGGGACCCAAAGUCUGAAACCAUUAUUUGGAGAAACAUGGUAUGCAUGCAUCACCCUAGAGCCUGAUGAUACGUCAUCAGAAGUGGUAUAUUCCUAUUUACAGAGACAUUUGGAGAAGAGUCAGCUCUUAGCACCUGUUCUGCACAAGUCCAGAACCAAGUAAGUAGCUUGUGGUCAUCAUUAAGGACAAGCAAUCUGAAAUACCAUAUUGUACCGUGAUUGGGAAAGAUGAGGAAGAAGGUAACAGUGAGUGAAAAGACCAUAUUGAGAUAUUGUUGGAAGCCUUUGAGGUGGAAUGACAACCAUCUGACUUUUAGCCACCAUGAUAUUCUUUGGAUGAACUUCGCCUUCAGUACAUGAACAACUAAGAUCUGCUUUAACCUUGGCUUCUUGAGAGAAACCUCAGCCUAAGGUUCACUGUGAUGCAGGAAUUAUAUUAAGCAUAUUUACUAACCAGUACGGCACAGGCACCAAUCCAUUGGAACAGCUACGGGACCAUAAACAGUGGUUCAGUUGGACCAGUGCCAGCCAGCUGAAUCCCAGCCCCACCUGCGGUGAUCACAUAUUCCCUUUUCACCUAAGAGACAGCACUCAAUACCAAAUACAAGACAGUCAGAUGCCCCUCAAUGCCAGUGGCUCUUAAGGCGGGGGCGAAAAG